rnacentral:rRNA from 1 species
UUUGGGAGUAAACGGGUGGUACCCGAAAGUUCGAAAGGGGAGAUUCAAGUCUCGCCGCGCUGGGCAGCGGACGCGAGAAGAGAUGGCAGUUUCGCGAUCAAGGGGUAACAGCCUUGUUCCGGGAUUGUCACUCAGCGGUCGCUGUUCUCCCAGUGUCGGAGUGACGCACUUCUCCCCGAGUAGGACGUCGCGACCCGUCGAGUGCCGGUCUAAGUUUGCGGGAGGAGUCUAUGUAGUCUGUUCUCUGAGCCGAUUGCGUAUGACCUCGUAAAUACUGGCCGGGUGCUCGACGGUACGAAGCUUGGAAGGAGUCGACGCGCCAAAAUAAUAUUUUGGCGUCCGGCCCUCCGCAAGCGCCUGCGGGAGACCGGACUACGGGCCUGGCCCGAUUUCGGUCCCAUUCGCGGGGCUGUUUGCGCUAAGGAGGUGUCCUCGGACGGCGUUAGAUUCUCCAGUCAGCGACGCUUCAGCUUGGAUGGUCUACCCGACCC